UACGAAGGGGGCUAGCGUUGUUCGGAAUUACUGGGCGUAAAGCGCGCGCAGGCGGUCUUCCAAGUCAGUGGUGAAAGCCCGGAGCUCAACUCCGGAACUGCCAUUGAAACUGUUAGACUUGAGGAUGAGAGAGGUGAGUGGAAUUCCCAGUGUAGAGGUGAAAUUCGUAGAUAUUGGGAAGAACACCGGUGGCGAAAGCGGCUCACUGGCUCAUUACUGACGCUCAGGCGCGAUAGCGUGGGGAUCAAACAGG
rnacentral:rRNA from 1 species